GCAAACAGUCAAAAUGUACAAGAUACUAUGGAAUAACCACAUAGAAGAAGAAGCAACCUGGGAAACAGAAGAGUAUUUGAACAAGCAUUUCCGCGGUUUUCUUUCCAGCUAAGGAGGUAAGGACUACACACCCCCACUGGUUACCCUUACACCCGAAUCUCGGGACGAGAUUCUUUUUAAGGGGGGUAGGCUGUAAUGACCCUGGUUAAAUCAGCCGAGUUAAUCUCAAUCCGAGUCCCUGAUCCCUCUAUCUCAGCUCCCCUGAGCUUAAGCGUUCAACCUCCAAUUCCCGGUCCUGACCCC
rnacentral:lncRNA from 1 species